GCUGGGUCAUAGAGUAAAUAUAUGUAAAUUAAGGGUAUGUAAUACAAAGUUUCCCAUCAAAACAGGAAGAUGGAGAAAUGUACCACGAAAUGAGAGAAUUUGUCCUCUUUGUAAAGCUGGUCUUGGGGAUGUAUACCACUAUAUAUGUAAAUGUACCAAUUGUGAAGUUAAGGAUUUAAGGGGGAAGUUCAUACCUCCAUAUUAUUUAAAAUAUCCAAAUGAAAAAAAA
rnacentral:lncRNA from 1 species